rnacentral:misc_RNA from 1 species
GAGCAUGAAAAGCGAAAAUUCGAGUCUAGAUCUUCACAAACUGUGGAGUUAAUAGGGAGGAAGUUGAAGCGGCGGAAGAGGAGUUAGGUUCUGCAACGGCGGCCGGAGAAGAGUACGGCGAUAGGGAAAGAGUUGGGGCGGGACGGCGGAGAAGAUGGCCCCUAAUCCAAAGUCCACGGCGGCGGCAGCAAAAUGGGGUUGAAGAAUCGGAGGCUGUUUGGGUGAAAUUAGUCGGAAUUUCCAAUUUGUGCGUUGAAAACACGGCGUGAGAAUUCCGUAUGCCGGUUA